rnacentral:misc_RNA from 1 species
GUGAGUCAUCGAAUCUUUGAACGCACAUUGCGCCCCUUGGUAUUCCGGGGGGCAUGCCUGUUCGAGCGUCAUUUCAACCCUCCAGCCUCGCUGGGUCUUGGGCUCUGCCGGCAACGGCUUGCCUUAAAAUCAGUGGCGGUACCGACGAGCUCUACGCGUAGUAAUCUAACCCUCGCGUCUGAGUUUCGGCGGUCGCUAGCCAGCAACCCCCAUUUCUACGGUUGACCUCGGAUCAGGUAGGGAUACCCGCUGAACUUAAGCAUAUCAAUAAGCGGAGGA